rnacentral:rRNA from 1 species
AACGAACGCUGGCGGCAGGCUUAACACAUGCAAGUCGAACGGGCGUAGCAAUACGUCAGUGGCGGACGGGUGAGUAACACGUGGGAAUAUGCCUUUCGGUUCGGAACAACUCGGGGAAACUCGUGCUAAUUCCGGAUACGCCUUACGGGAAAGAUUUAUCGCCGAAGAUUAGCCGCGUUGGAUUAGCUAGUUGGUGAGGUAAAGGCUCACCAAGGCGACGAUCCAUAGCUGGUUUGAGAGAACGACCAGCCACACUGGGACUGAGACACGGCCCAGACUCCUACGGGAGGCAGCAGUGGGGAAUAUUGGACAAUGGGCGAAAGCCUGAUCCAGCAAUGCCGCGUGAGUGAUGAAGGCCUUAGGGUUGUAAAGCUCUUUUACCCGGGAUGAUAAUGACAGUACCGGGAGAAUAAGCUCCGGCUAACUCCGU